GAUGAACGCUGGCGGCGUGCCUAAUACAUGCAAGUCGAGCGAACAGACGAGGAGCUUGCUCCUCUGACGUUAGCGGCGCACGGGUGAGUCACACGUGGAUAACCUACCUAUAAGACUGGGAUCACUUCGGGAAACCGGAGCUAAUACCGGAUAAUAUAUUGAACCGCAUUGUUCAAUAGUGAAAGACGGUUUUGCUGUCACUUAUAGAUGGAUCCGCGCCGCAUUAGCUAGUUGGGAAGGUAACGGCUUACCAAGGCAACGAUGCGUAGCCGACCUGAGAGGGUGAUCGGCGACACUGGAACUGGGCCACGGUCCAGACUCCUACGGGAGGCAGCAGUAGGGAAUCUUCGGCAAUGGGCGAAAGCCUGACGGAACAACGCCGCGCGAGUGAUGAAGGUCUUCGGAUCGUAAAACUCUGUUAUUAGGGGAGAACAAAUGUGUAAGUAACUAUGCACGUCGUGACGGUACCUAAUCAGAAAGCAACGGCUAACUACGUG
rnacentral:rRNA from 1 species